AUUGGAUCCAGACUUUGAUCAUGGCUCAGGAUGAACGCUAGCUACAGGCUUAACACAUGCAAGUCGAGGGGAAACGACAUUGAAAGCUUGCUUUCGAUGGGCGUCGACCGGCGCACGGGUGAGUAACGCGUAUCCAACCUGCCCAUCACUUGGGGAUAACCUUGCGAAAGUAAGACUAAUACCCAAUGACGUCUCUAGAGGACAUCUGAAAGAGAUUAAAGAUUUAUCGGUGAUGGAUGGGGAUGCGUCUGAUUAGCUUGUUGGCGGGGUAACGGCCCACCAAGGCAACGAUCAGUAGGGGUUCUGAGAGGAAGGUCCCCCACAUUGGAACUGAGACACGGUCCAAACUCCUACGGGAGGCAGCAGUGAGGAAUAUUGGUCAAUGGACGAGAGUCUGAACCAGCCAAGUAGCGUGCAGGAUGACGGCCCUAUGGGUUGUAAACUGCUUUUAUAAGGGAAUAAAGUGAGUCUCGUGAGACUUUUUGCAUGUACCUUAUGAAUAA
rnacentral:rRNA from 1 species